GACUAACGCUGGCGGCAGGCUUAACACAUGCAAGUCGAACGCAUCCUUCGGGGUGAGUGGCAGACGGGUGAGUAACGCGUGGGAACGUGCCCUUCAGUUCGGGAUAACCCAGGGAAACUUGGGCUAAUACCGGAUACGUGCGAGAGCAGAAAGAUUUAUCGCUGAAGGAUCGGCCCGCGUCUGAUUAGCUAGUUGGUGGGGUAAUGGCCCACCAAGGCGACGAUCAGUAGCUGGUCUGAGAGGAUGAUCAGCCACAUUGGGACUGAGACACGGCCCAAACUCCGACGGGAGGCAGCAGUGGGGAAUAUUGGACAAUGGGCGCAAGCCUGAUCCAGCCAUGCCGCAUGAGUGAUGAAGGCCUUAGGGUUGUAAAGCUCUUUCGUCCGGGACGAUAAUGACGGUACCGGAAGAAGAAGCCCCGGCUAACUUCGUGCCAGCCGCCGCCGUAA
rnacentral:rRNA from 1 species